rnacentral:rRNA from 1 species
CAAUAAGCGGAGGAAAAGAAACCAACAGGGAUUGCCUCAGUAGCGGCGAGUGAAGCGGCAAAAGCUCCAUUUUGAAAGCUCUUCGGAGCGUUGUAGAUUGGUGGGAAGCUAACGGCUGGUGGGAGACCAAGUCCUCUGGAACGAGGCGCCAUAGAGGGUGAGAGCCCCGUGUGUCUCCUUUACCGACCUUUCAGCCCCCUCCGCGGAGUCGAGUUGUUUGGGAAUGCAGCUCUAAGUGGGUGGUAAAUUCCAUCUAAGGCUAAAUAUUGGCGAGAGACCGAUAGCGAACAAGUACAGUGAUGGAAAGAUGAAAAGCACUUUGAAAAGAGAGUGAAACAGUACGUGAAAUUGUUGAAAGGGAAGGGUAUUUGGCCCGACAUGGGUCCUAUGCACCGUUGCCUCUCGUGGGCGGCGCUCUGCUUGGGCCUGGGCCAGCGUCAGUUUGGAGGGGGCGAGAAGGGUUUUGGGGAGUUGCCUAGCAAUUCCCCUUUGCUAGAUUGCCCCACACCGGACUGAGGACCGCCAUCUGUAGGAUGCUGGCACAACGGCCAAAUACCGCCCGUCUUGAAACAC